ncrna:Ornithorhynchus anatinus (platypus) microRNA oan-mir-1421f precursor
GGGUGUGUGGAAGUUGCACAUCAUGCCGUGUGAUGGUGGAAUAUGCUGCAUAGUGUGUGACCUCCCUACACAGU